CUACGGGGCGCACCAGUGGGGAAUAUUGCACAAUGGAGGAAACUCUGAUGCAGCAACGCCGCGUGGAGGAUGACACUUUUCGGAGCGUAAACUCCUUUUAUAUAGGAAGAAGAUGACGGUACUAUAUGAAUAAGCGCCGGCUAACUCCGUGCCAGCAGCCGCGGUAAUACGGAGGGCGCAAGCGUUACUCGGAAUCACUGGGCGUAAAGAGCGUGUAGGCGGAUUAAAAAGUCAGAAGUGAAAUCCUAUAGCUUAACUAUAGAACUGCUUCUGAAACUCUUAAUCUAGAAUAUGGGAGAGGUAGAUGGAAUCUCUGGUGUAGGGGUAAUAUCCGUAGAGAUCAGAAGGAAUACCGAUUGCGAAGGCGAUCUACUAGAACAUUAUUGACGCUGAGACGCGAAAGCGUGGGGAGCAAACAGGAUUAGAUACCCCUGUAGUC
rnacentral:rRNA from 1 species